rnacentral:rRNA from 1 species
UACGAAGGGGGCUAGCGUUAUUCGGAUUCACUGGGCGUAAAGGGUGCGCAGGCGGUCGUGUGUGUCAGAUGUGGAAUCCCGGAGCUUAACUCCGGAACUGCGUCUGAAACUACACGACUAGAGCAUUGGAGAGGGAAGUGGAAUUCAUGGUGUAGCAGUGAAAUGCGUAGAUAUCAUGAGGAACACCAGAGGCGAAGGCGACUUCCUAGACAAUUGCUGACGCUCAGGCACGAAAGCAUGGGGAGCGAAAGGG